UCCCUCCAUGCGUGCAUUACCCUGGGCUCAGGCGUAGACUCGAGAUCCACAUAUGAGCAAUAGCUGUAGCUGCUGACUCACUCACAUCGCUUUUCUUGGUUUUUUCAUUUCAGCAGUGAGCUGGCCAGAUAUUAUUCAUUUUAUUUGAGAUGUCUGCUGAAGGUAUAAAUGUCUAGGCUUCCUGUAAGGAACGGAUGAAGUCCAAAAGGCACAAGGUAAAUGUGCAACAGACAGUCUGAGAGCACGCCUGCAGCACUGACUAGGGCCCGUACAUCAGGCAGAACAAACGUCCACAGCCAUUGCUGAGUCUGCAAAUGGGUUGGAUUUGUUGUUUUGUUUGCCACGUGAAGGGUACUUUUAAGAGGUGGCAGCUACGUGGCCUCUUGUUUUAUGUGACUGAAUUAUUUAAAGACCUUGUUGUUAGGGGGAAAUGAUGACUUUUCUGUAAGGCAGGUUACAACCAACUUGUGUGCAGUGCUCUGUUACAGCUCUUCUCUAUCCUUGGGAAAACCAGGUUUUAUUUUAGACUUGCCAGACCAUUCUGAAGGCAAAUGACAGUACUUGAAUGAAGUCAGAGGAGGGAAGAAAAUAGCUCUUCAGUCACUAAGUCAUGAAAAAUUAUUCUGAUUUAGGCAUCUGAUAUUUGUGUUCAUUCUACUCAGAAACAGCUCCUCAAAGCCUUUGCAUCGUUAAAUCUCCUCAUUAACUUGGAUAGUGACUACUGUUGAGGAGAAUACAAAAAUCUGUGCACCAUUAUAAACCCUCACUCACUCUUACAGAACGUGUGGGGAAUCUAGCCGGGGAGUUAAGGUCCCAGAGCUAGCCCUGUCACCAAUGAUGGGAAGUUUCCGUGGAUAUAGUACACAGCAAAACAGAUGGGAAUGAUGACAUUUCUCUAACUGAGAGCUAUCCAAAAUCUUCCAGUAAAGAUUAUCUGCUUUGGUCUUACUGGGGUAGUAAAGGCCUGUGUUUGUAAAGUGGAAGAGCCAGCUUUUCAGAAGUCUGUUUUUUUACAGAAUGCUUGACACACAAGCCAUAAUUCUGGGAUUCUGGUUCCCUUGUUAAGUUCUCCUGCUUUCAGAUUCUUGGAGCUAAUUUUCAUUGACAAUAGGAACAUUCCUUGAAAAAUGCUGAUGUAAUGAAGUACGUGCUACUUGAGAUUAAAAGAUUUAUUCAGUGACUCCUUUGUGAAACUUUUGCGAAGUGUCUUAACAUUUUUAUGUUUCUCUAACUGCCAACAAAAUCUCAUUGCACCACACAGUUUGCAACAUUAGUCAGAUUUUGACACAGGCUCACGCAAGAGGCAGUUUUCACAGUCAGGAAUCAUAAAAUGUUAAAGAAAUUGCCAUUAUUUGAAAACUAGACACAGUUCAGUGAAGCAGAUGGACUUGCUAACAGUGACUUAGGAGGUCUGUAGCACAGCUGUGUUGACACGGAUUAUAGACAAUCAAAAUUGUAUAUAAAGUGCAUGCCUUAGUUUUAGUUUUAAGCAUAUUGCUAACAUUUAAUGAACUGUGUAACCUUAUAUGGUUUAUGUAUUUUUGUACUGUAGCUGCGAGUUAUGCUAAGGCCUUGACUAAACCUUCCCAGAAAUCUGUAUUGCUAUUUGUAAUGCAGGCGCACAGACUGAGAGUGCCAAUAAGCCUUUGAUUGAAUCUUGAUUAAUGUAAAUACGUUAAGCCUGUAGGUGCCAUUCCAGCCCAGGGAGCUUCUUACAGCUUUUAACCAUGUCCACAUCAGAGUUAGAGCCCCUUUGCUUCAGAUAAUUUCCAAAGACCAUCUGAAGAAUGUUUGGACUUGCUUGUGAAGGAUCAGGGAUAGAGACAUUUUCUGAAGCCCCUGGCUGGCUUGUUUGCAACACCAUCCCAAUAAAAAUUAAGCCCUCAGACACAAACUUAAGAAAGAAAAGAAGAAAACAGAAUUCUGACAUAUUUCACAACUGUACUCUGAUCCCAGGAGAAAGAUUGGGUAAGAAACACUGAUCUUUCUUACAUAUCUGUCUGCAAAGUUUCAGUAGCCCUCUUUUACUAGCGAGCUCUCCUGGAUUAGGUGAGCAAGUUGCCUAUUUGUUUCAAUGGAUUGCUUUAAUUGGCUCUCAUCUAAGCAACAGAGAGGGGAUGUAGGAGCACAGCAUUUAACCGAGAGGAAAACGAGAUGUGUGGAGGGAAAAGGAAGGCACCAUGAAGUGUGGUAAGCUGCAGUGGGAUCUAGAUGGCUGAGAUGGAUCAAAGCACUGAGCUCUCCUCCUGGCUCUGGUGCUUGAUAACCUCUGGUGCCUUAUUACCUGUUUUGAUAGCAAAAUUUGCAGAUCUUCAUUUGCCAAGGAAAUGUGCUGAACACGCAUACGUGUGUGGAAUGGGACAAGGCAGCUCCAGCAUGGGGGCCAGUUUCUUCCAAGGUAAAUCUUUGUGGGAAUAACCUUCCUGAUCUACACUGCUGUCUAUACUUACUUGGUAGGGAUUCUGCCACUGAGGAAACACUGACUGAAAAGGUGCGUGAUGAGAAAGAGGAAUAACUGAAAGGAAACAUCCUCCCUGCUGUGCUGUCCUAUUACAUGGUGUCGGAGCCCAGGAACCAGGGAGAGACCACUUUGCUGCUUGACUUCUCAAGAAUCACAGAAUAGAAGAUGUGUCUACUGGAAGAACCUUUAGCAGUCAAAAAGGACUGACACAUCGAGUAGGACUCUCCAGGCUGAGAUACAGUGAAGAUGCAGCCCAAAUGACCUUGGUAAAGUGCUGUGGGGGAGUCUGUUCUUGUGUCCUUUUAUUCCCAUGCACAUGCCUGUCUCUGAUGAGUUUGUGAUUUGACCACGGGGACAGAAAAUAAAGAUGAAAGACUAGAAGGUGUGCUUUUGGCUGAAAAUAUAAAACCCAUGAGAACUGCUCACCUGUGUUUCUCUGUUCAGGGGAAGUGUGGAAGGAACUUUGCUGGCAAGUGGACUUAGUGCCAAGUGGACUUAGUGGACUAAGUGCCACUUAGUGCCAAGUGCCAAGUGGACUUAGAUGCAGAAGAGGACCAAGAUAUUAAGAUAUACAUGAAUUAAGCAUGGCUGAGAAAAUGCCAUCUGCAUUAAUCUGCAAACCUAAAGGAUUAAUUUAUUCCCAUUAUUUCUCUUAUUUCACUUCAUGCCCACUGUGUAGCUUUAUUGCAUUUGGUCUCUCCUUUAAAAAAAAAAAAAAAAACUUGUACAUUUUUCUAGUGACCUGGAAGACUUAAUUUUUUUUCUUUAAAGAAAAUAGUCUGCUGAAUAAUCUUCUCUUCUAGGCAAACAAAUGUCAUCUUCAGAAUAAAACAUGCAUGCACGAGGAAAUUCCAUUGAAGAGGGGGAAAAAAGCUUACUUGGCUUGGGCCCCUUUCAGCAUGAUCUGACAUACAGUAUGUUAUCCUUAGAUGAUCUGUUAUUAUCUUCCUCCUCCUGAGCCACGUGUCAGCAACCAUAUGUGUGUGAGCAGCUGAAACUGUCCUUUGAACUCUCCACUGGCAGACUGACAGUGUGGGCAAGUGGACAGCAGGCUAGGCUUGGGUGCAGUACCUGUCCAAGUGGCUCACCAGCUUUGUAACCCCAGAUACAUCCCCCUUUCCUUGAGAGAAAGACAGAGAUUGAUACUGACUAUGGACCAGCAUAUGCUCCUCAUGGUGGAAGGAAGAAUGGGACCUCUUUCGUGAUCACAGCACACCUGUGAUUGGACCUUUCCCUCUCUGGAGUUAGGCAGGACUUGUGCAAAGUUCCCUUCAUGCACAACUGCUUGAGCUUGCCUCCUUCUGGGUCUGGGAGCAUUUCUUCAGGGCUAGUGAUGAACAAAGGCGGGAUGGUCUCCAUUUUCUGGUCUGCUCUGGUCACCCAACACACAUACAUCCUUGACUGACCUGGAUAAGAAGCAGGAAGUGGUGGAUUCAUCCCAUGGACUCAACGGUGACUGCUGAUGCCUUUCAACCUACUCCUGCCCUGCAACAAAGCUGAACAGAGAUUCCAAAAUCUCUGAACUUUACCAUAGUGCCUCUGAUCCAUCCAGGGGCUUUUCCUCUGUUAUCUUCACCUGGAAUUGGAGAAUACUCUCUCUGUGUAGGAGGAGUCAGAUGUGCUUCCCCAUCCACAGGCAUGAUGCCUUCCCAGGAAUGCUAGAAGAAAGGCCAUGGAGUUCAGUACUGUGUGAUCUGGUGUGGAGCCCUGUGAGCUAAAUGAAGCAUUUCUUCUCCCCAGGAAGCACUCUCAUGCUCUGAACAGCAGCAGCACUGUGAGGAUAACCCAGCGUGGGCAGGGGGCUGACUCAUCUCUCCAGAAGAUUAACACUGUUUAUUAAUCACAGCUCCUUUGAAGUGAAAAAAUGGAGAAAACCUCUCGUGGCCAACGUUGUGAUUAACCACCUAAUUGUUCUACUGGGAGUCAGUUCAUGGAACAACCAAUUCCUUGUCCAUUCCAACUGACCCUCCAGUCAUCUUUUUCAUCAUGGGACAUGGUGCCACAAGUGAUGGAGAAUGUCUCAACAUUCUCUUCUGGGAGAAGACCCAUCAGGCUGAGCUGGAAGUGCUUGCUGAAUUGCAGAAUCACAGCCUCUCCCACCAGCUCUGAGCAUGCACAUUCCAGAUAAGGCUGGUGUUAGAGCACAGGAUUUUGGAGGGAGCUGGCACACCUAGCCCUAGCUCUGGGGAUGUCUUCUCCUCAGUCCACGUGGGUUUGC